GAGCUACACACUGGAGGUGGUCGGGGCUGGAAUGACGUGUCUUGUGGAGAGCUGAGGUUCUAUGUGUGUUCUAUGGAGCCCAGAUCUGGUUUAGCAGUAAUGCCAAGUCAGAAGCAAACACACGAGAGAGGUAGGAAUGUCU